UGAGUACAAGAUGCUACGGCAUUGAAGCAGUCUAUGUCAUACUUCCAAGAAAAGCUUGCAAUGUCAUAAACAAAUAAUGCCUGUACCAUAACCGACACAGGUGGGUAGGUAGAGUAUACUAAGGGGCGCGAGAUAACUCUCUCUAAGGAACUCGGCAAAAUGACUCCGUAACUUCGGGAGAAGGAGUACCUUAUUUUAUAAGGUUGCAAUAACAAGGUCCAAGCAACUGUUUACCAAAAACACAGGUCUCCGCUAAGUCGUAAGACGAUGUAUGGGGGCUGACGCCUGCCCAGUGCCAGAAGGUUAAAGAAGUUGGUUAGCAUUAGCGAAGCUGAUAACUGAAGCCCUGGUGAACGGCGGCCGUAACUAUAACGGUCCUAAGGUAGCGAAAUUCCUUGUCGGGUAAGUUCCGACCCGCACGAAAGGCGUAAUGAUUUGGAUACUGUCUCGGAGAGGGGCUCGGUGAAAUAGACUUGUCUGUGAAGAUGCGGACUACCUGCACCUGGACAGAAAGACCCUAUGAAGCUUUACUGUAACUUGAGAUUGAAAUUGGACUUUAUUUGCGCAGUAUAGGUGGGAGACCUCGAAAGUAUUCUUGCGGGAAUAUUGGAGUCAUCAGUGAGAUACCACUCUUAUAAUGUUAGAUUUCUAACUUUGUAUCAUUAUCUGGUCAAAGAACAGUUUCAGGCGGGCAGUUUGACUGGGGCGGUCGCCUCCCAAAUGGUAACGGAGGCGCACAAAGGUUUCCUCUGAACGUGUAGAGAUCGUAUCUAGAGUGUAAAGGCAUAAGGAGGCUUGACUGUGAGACCUACAAGUCGAGCAGGGACGAAAGUCGGUCUUAGUGAUCUGACGGUGCUGAGUGGAAAGGCCGUCACUCAACGGAUAGAAGUUACUCUAGGGAUAACAGGCUGAUCUCCCCCAAGAGUUCACAUCGACGGGGAGGUUUGGCACCUCGAUGUCGGCUCAUCGCAUCCUGGGGCGGUAGUACGUCCCAAGGGUUGGGCUGUUCGCCCAUGAAAGCGGUACGCGAGCUGGGUUCAGAACGUCGUGAGACAGUUCGGUCCAUAUCCGGUGUAGGCGUUAGAAUAUUGAGAGGAGCCUUCUUUAGUACGAGAGGACCGAGAAGGACAUACCUCUGGUGUACCAGUUAUCGUGCCAACGGUAAACGCUGGGUAGCUAUGUAUGGAGAGGAUAACCGCUGAAAGCAUCUAAGUGGGAAGCCCACCUCAAGAUAAGUAUUCAC
rnacentral:rRNA from 1 species